GCCGACCUUGAAAUACCACCCUUUAAUGUUUGAUGUUCUAACGUGGACCCGUGAUCCGGGUUGCGGACAGUGUCUGGUGGGUAGUUUGACUGGGGCGGUCUCCUCCUAAAGAGUAACGGAGGAGCACGAAGGUUGGCUAAUCCUGGUCGGACAUCAGGAGGUUAGUGCAAUGGCAUAAGCCAGCUUGACUGCGAGCGUGACGGCGCGAGCAGGUGCGAAAGCAGGUCAUAGUGAUCCGGUGGUUCUGAAUGGAAGGGCCAUCGCUCAACGGAUAAAAGGUACUCCGGGGAUAACAGGCUGAUACCGCCCAAGAGUUCAUAUCGACGGCGGUGUUUGGCACCUCGAUGUCGGCUCAUCACAUCCUGGGGCUGAAGUAGGUCCCAAGGGUAUGGCUGUUCGCCAUUUAAAGUGGUACGCGAGCUGGGUUUAGAACGUCGUGAGACAGUUCGGUCCCUAUCUGCCGUGGGCGCUGGAGAACUGAGGGGGGCUGCUCCUAGUACGAGAGGACCGGAGUGGACGCAUCACUGGUGUUCGGGUUGUCAUGCCAAUGGCACUGCCCGGUAGCUAAAUGCGGAAGAGAUAAGUGCUGAAAGCAUCUAAGCACGAAACUUGCCCCGA
rnacentral:rRNA from 4 species